GCCGAAGUGGCGGAAUUGGUAGACGCGCACGUUUGAGGGGCGUGUGGCGCAAGCCGUGCCGGUUCGAGUCCGGCCUUCGGCACCA
rnacentral:tRNA from 1 species